rnacentral:lncRNA from 1 species
GCGCAUGCGAGGGAUCUAGGCUGCGCGCUCCUUAUGAGAAUCUAACGCCUGAUGACCUAUCACUGUCUCCCAUCACUCCCAGAUGGGACCGUCUAGUUGCAGGAAAACAAGCUCAGGGCUCCCACUGAUUCUACAUUAUGAUCAACUGCAUGGGGUCCUACAGGAGAAGACCAAGAGACAGAGACAGAGACCAGGGAAAAUGACCGAUACCAUUCCUUCUCAGGGAUGCUACACACCCAUGGGGCAGAGGAUAAGAGGUUCCUGAAGGCAUCACCCCUCUGGCCAUGGCUGGUGUGCAGACAAAGCUGGAGAUUUGGAGUAGCCUGUUGUCCCACUGACUCUUAGACUGCCCCAGCUAAGAAGAACCAACUCCUCCUAUUACAGAUGAAAUAAACAAAGCUACUCAAGCUCUCUGGCAUCGCCCUGACGGUCAUCAUGUGCUUCACAUUUCCCUCCUGCCCCCCCUGAUUUUCUGGAAAAGGGAGAAAGUGUGUGAAAAAAAAUGGACAAUAACUUCUGUUAACUUUGUAGAUGUCUGGUUCCUCCAUAUGAGGCUGUGCUUGAAUCAAUUUUGGAGAGAGGGUUUCUAAAGUCUCUCUAGAUUCUAUUAAUUUUGAUAGAGACAAUAAAAGGCAGCAGGACCA